rnacentral:rRNA from 1 species
UACAGAGGGUGCAAGCGUUGUUCGGAAUUAUUGGGCGUAAAGCGCGUGUAGGCGGCUUUGCAAGUCGGGUGUGAAAGCCCUCAGCUCAACUGAGGAAGUGCGCCCGAAACUGCAGAGCUUGAGUACCGGAGAGGAUGGCGGAAUUCCCCAAGUAGAGGUGAAAUUCGUAGAUAUGGGGAGGAACACCGGUGGCGAAGGCGGCCAUCUGGACGGAUACUGACGCUGAGACGCGAAAGCGCGGGGAGCAAACAGG